AUUGAACGCUGGCGGCAGGCCUAACACAUGCAAGUCGAGCGGAUGAGGGGAGCUUGCUCCUGGAUUCAGCGGCGGACGGGUGAGUAAUGCCUAGGAAUCUGCCUGGUAGUGGGGGAUAACGUCCGGAAACGGGCGCUAAUACCGCAUACGUCCUGAGGGAGAAAGUGGGGGAUCUUCGGACCUCACGCUAUCAGAUGAGCCUAGGUCGGAUUAGCUAGUUGGUGGGGUAAAGGCCUACCAAGGCGACGAUCCGUAACUGGUCUGAGAGGAUGAUCAGUCACACUGGAACUGAGACACGGUCCAGACUCCUACGGGAGGCAGCAGUGGGGAAUAUUGGACAAUGGGCGAAAGCCUGAUCCAGCCAUGCCGCGUGCGUGAAGAAGGUCUUCGGAUUGUAAAGCACUUUAAGUUGGGAGGAAGGGCAGUAAGUUAAUACCUUGCUGUUUUGACGUUACCAACAGAAUAAGCACCGGCUAACUUCGUG
rnacentral:rRNA from 1 species